rnacentral:rRNA from 1 species
UACGUAGGGUGCAGGCGUUAAUCGGAAUUACUGGGCGUAAAGCGUGCGCAGGCGGUUUUCUAAGUCAGGUGUGAAAUCCCCGGGCUUAACCUGGGAACUGCGCUUGUAACUGGCAAGCUAGAGUGUGGCAGAGGGGGGUGGAAUUCCACGUGUAGCAGUGAAAUGCGUAGAGAUGUGGAGGAACACCGAUGGCGAAGGCAGCCCCCUGGGCUAACACUGACGCUCAUGCACGAAAGCGUGGGGAGCAAAGAGG